AUGCCUCCUACCCCCAAACCCCCUAAGAGACAAUCCCCACCACUGACAAGGAAUGGCUGCAAGGUGAUACCCACAACAACCGCCAUCUCCACCGCCAAGAGACUGAACUCCAGCAAGCCCAGAGGAAAAGCCUUUGAGAGUCCACAGCCAACUUCAGAGCCACCCCGAAGAUCCACAACCAGGACCCAGGCCCAGCCGGCCAGAAGCCCAGGGAGGAGUGGGGUUGGUAGGCUUGGCGGUCAAGGUCCGGGGGCAUCCCCUGGUAGGGUUAACCAUGCCCCUGUGGGUAUAACAGGAUCAGUGAGGCUAAGGAGCUGGGGUAAUCCUCUGCUCCAGCAUGGUGUGGGAGAGGACCCCCCUGGGCGCAGGAUAUCCUUAAGGGACAUGGGGGGCGCCAAGCAGUUUCCUCCCCUGGCAAUAAAGCCUAGAACAGUAGGGAAGACAGCAAGGGGGAGGGGGGUGAGGGGAGUGGUGUGUCAGAGAGGGAGCAAGAGCAGGAUUGAGCAAGGAUCUGAGGAGUCUGACACUGUUAGUAUAGACCCAAGUGAGAUUAACCAAGGGAAUAAUGUAGUUGGCCAUGUUGGUAAGGACAAACCUCCUAACCUGAGGACUGAACUUGAUGAAACUACCUGUGUUGACCAGCAGGAGCUGGGAGUCGGCCAUGCUAGUGAGGGCAAACCUCGUAUCCUGAGGACUGGUGAUUUGGCUAGUGAUGACAAACAGGAAGAGUUAGUUGCCCGUAAUGGUGAAACGGUUGGGACUGACUCAUACGAUAAGCCUGUCAGCCAUAGUGGUGAGGGCAACCACUAUGAGCUCGAUGAGCACACCAGUGUUGACCAACAACAGGAAAAGCUAAUCAAUAAUAUUGCUGAGGGCAAUUCUUUCAACCUGAACCAUGAGCUUGGUAACUCUACCAGUGAUGACCGGCAGGAAGAGUCAGUUGGCCCUAAAUGUGAAGACAACGCCAAGAUUAACCUCGGAGCUGAGCAGAUUGAGAUGGAGCAAAGAGAGAGAAAUACCCAUGCAGGAGAGCAGAGAGGAGGGGAGAGUUUGGAGAAGGAAGGAGCGGAAACGGUGAAGCAGGAAUAUGAGAGAGAUGAAGAAAAGAAGGAAGCAGACGGUAAGCAGAGAGUGGAGAGAGUCAAGGUGAAUGAGACGGAGGAAAAAAAAGAGAAAAACGAGAGACAGAAGGAGGGAGAGGUUAUCAGCAGACCUUCAGACACAAGCACCAUUAUGUCUGUCGCUCAGCCCCAAAAGCCUAUUCCACAGGAUGACGCGUUGAUGAUGCAAUCACCUGUCCAUGCCUCACCUGUCUCUGAACCAGCUACCUCAGAUCUGACAUCACCCCCUCUCCUUCAUCUGCCCUCUCCGUCUCACCCCACAGUGUCACAUGGUAUGAACGUUCUGAACAAAGGUGUUAAACCAAUCCAACUUACCCAAACUGUUGAAAUCCAUAAACCUUUAAAAGGCCCAACUACUUGCCAUGAGACAUCACAGGCGAGCCCAAUGCAUCCAGUAUCACUAAGUUUCUCAGUUGCCUUCCUUAGUGAACCCCACAAGCCCCUGUGUGUAACCCCAGCGAAACCAGCACCCUGUCAGAGCCUAGAGAUCCCUAUCUCUCUGGAGGCUAGACAACUUCUCAGACCAGUGGAAAAAGAGACCAAAGAGUCAUCCAAUCACAGUAACACAAAAUAUAUGUCAUCUUCAUCAUCUGCAUCAUCUUCGUCACACCUGAACACGAACGCGGAGGUCCCCACCACUCUGUCUCAAUCAAACACCGAUGUUAACAUCACUGUGUCUGUACCAGACCUAAGUCCAGUGCCAAAGAACCACAACAACUACCCAGAAGAGCCACCAUCAUCAUCAUCACUCCCAUACGUAAAGAUCGACCUCUACACCACUGGAUCUGCACCAGACAAAGACACCGUGUGUGUCUCUGUAUCUGACCUAGGUUCUGUACCAAAGACUCACAACAAGAACAACCAAGACGAGCCACCACCAUCAUUCCCAUACACAAACACUGGAUCUGAACCAAACACAGACAUUGCAUCGGUCUCUGUAUCUGAUCUGGGUUCAGUGCCAAAGACCUCCUCCAUCCCUAACCAGGAGAGUUCUACCUCCAAGUUCUCCUGCAGCUCAGAGAGCACCCAAUCCUCCUACUCCUUUGACACAGAGUCAGAGCAAGGCCAUGGGGCCCCUAGCCCCCCUGGACACCCUAGCCUGGGCUCGAGACCCCUGGAGGAGGGCACAUCUCUGCCCCGACCCCCAGAAGUCAACCAGAGGAGGGAGAGGAAAAAGAGGAGUAGUUGUGGAGGGUGUGAGCCGUGCCUGAGAAAGAUCAACUGUGGCCAGUGUAGCUGCUGUCUGAACCGCAGGACUGGACACCAGAUCUGUAAGCUGAGGAAGUGUAUGGAGCUGAGGAAGAGGAGGCCCAUGUCACUGCUCGCACUAACAUCUGCUCAGGUAAGGCUUCUCUAA
rnacentral:lncRNA from 1 species